AGGCAUGAGCCACCACACCUGGCCUAAAAAUAAUUUUUAAAAAGAGAUAUAGAUUAAGUUGCUGCAGGGAGAAUCCCUUAAUGAAUACUGUCUCUUAGGCACAUGCUAAGAACAGGGAAAGGGCUAUAAUGGGAACCAAGGAAAUCUGCUCCAUAGGACUGAAUGUGAUGGAUAAACGAGACCAGGGACGUAAAAAACACAAACAAAAGUUAGCCAAAAUGAGGCAUGAAAAAUGGAACCAACAGAUUAGAGGCUGACUUCCUGUCUUAAAUCAGUUCUGAACCACCUGAAUCUUCUGUAAGUCUGUCACCUUUGCAUUGAGUCUGUAUGCUCAUUGAAGCUAUCAGGGCUCAACUGGUCUUCAGAGUACUUUCCUCACUGAUGAAACAAACUCUCAGUAAAUGCAACCACGUCACUCACACUGGGACAUAUUUUCAUCACCUGCUCAGGAAGGGGCAGGACAGAGGGGAUAGCUCAGCAUGGGGAGAGGGACUGCCUUCAAUAAGCUCCCGCUGGCCCUUUCCUCACCUGUAAAAAGGCAUAUAUGUGAUCUCCCUAACCCCUCACGUUAAAAGAAGCCAGCGUCAUAUAUGGAGUGCACUCCCGACACUAAGUUGACAGGGAGAGAGAGCUUGGGAGGGACUGAGGCAGGACACAACUAAAUGCAGCUCUGGCCAUCACAGCAAAAUGCAGGAAGCAGUGGGCACUGUCCCACUAGAAAACACAGGCCAUCUGCCAACAGAAAGACCCUUUCAGCUGCGGUGAGCAGAUGCAGCAGAGCCUCCUGAGCAAUCUCUGCUUAGACGACCCUUAUCGGCGCAGGCUUCCUCUUCCCGCCUGGUCUGUGGCUCGGAUCACAAGCUCUCCCUCGGUCCAGCUCCUAGAGAACGGCUGGCAUGCUGUUCCAUCAAAUGUCUGAAUGAAUGAAUCAAGCAGUCGCACCCAAUGCUGAUCUUACAAAACCACUUCUUCACCCUUUACACUUCUUCCCUGGAGCACAUAAUCAAGAGGGAUACAUCGUGAAAUCGUCUCAAGAACAGCACUCCCCACUCUCCUGAACACAGACCCCUUCCCAGGCCUCCCGUGAUGCACUUGCUAAGGAGUGGACGCCUUCCACUCACCACCUGUGGUCACGCCUACCCGCCUUCUGCGCUGGGCUCAUGGCAGUGUCCUGAAGCUCUCCUGAGGCUGCGGCUGCAUGUGAAGGGCUUGAGUGAGGACUGAGGGAGGGCGCUCUGCUGGGCCUGGCCCGCCCAGUGUGCCUUCCACAGUUCAAUGGGCCAGCAAGCCCACAGUGCUCAGUAGUCUCCCGUCGAAUGCUGUAACUACAGUAAUCUUUGGACUAGACAUUAAUGAAUGUUUGAAAAGAAAUAAUCCUUUAUUUCAUAUUUUUUUUGAAGACAAGGUCUCCCUAUUUUGCCCAGGCUGGGCUUGAACUCAUGAUUCUCCCCCUCCUCAGCCUAGUGAAUAGCUGAGAAGUCAGGCACACGCCACUGUGCUUGGCUUUAAAAGGAGUUAUUCUUUCUGAUCCCUCUGUCACUGUUUUAUUCUUUACUUAAAAACAAACUGCCUGUAAAUACAUCCCACUGAUUUUAUUUCUAGGUAGUAUUUCUGAAUAAAACUUUCAAAUUUUCAUUUCUACAUUCAGGUGAAGAUUUUAUUUUUUAAGUCUCUCCAAGCAAUUUUGUAGGCAAAUUAAAUAUGCUUCUAUUUUAGUGAAGAAGUUGUGUAGCAAUUAACAGAAGCUGGUGUUCUGAACCUAGAGAACUGUGACAUCAUGACCACAGUGCACUGACACUCUGCUAGCCAGCACUGUUUUUUUUUUUUUUUCUUUUUAACUGGAAAUUAUAUGAGCAUAAAUGAUGUAUGCUUUGUUGGGUAAGAAUCUGACCUAAAAAAAUUGGCUUCACUUCACAGUUUAAAAUAGACUUUUUCCUUAGACAGAUCAAAGAUACCUAGCAUUCAGCUAUAUUCAAAGGCUGCCAGGGAACUUCUGCUUGCCAACAGCAAGGACACGGGGACAGGCCCUUGUUGCUGUGUGAGCGAGGCCUGUGGGUGAUUAAAGAGGAUGGACGGGCUUGUCCACAGGGAAGCGUGGCGUAGGUGAGUGGAGCAGAUGAAGUGAAAUCUACCCAGAGAACUGGGCUGUAUGUGAGACCUCGGCUUACUUUUAUACUUCCUACGGCUAGUCUGGAAAACCUUUCAAUCCAAAGUAAUCAUUAGAAGACACAAAAAUCCAAAAUGUGAGAGAAGAAAAGACUAAUGAAAGCAGAGGUUCCCUGUUCGGCUGUUUCUAAGCCAACGAGAAGAGCAGCAGGCACUCCGAUAACUUCUACACAGUCCAUUUUUAUUAUUCUUCAACUAACAGGCAAGAAGCCAGAGCUCCUGUAAAUAUAUGCAUAAUUCAUUUGUAAGCAGUCAGACCUCUACUUUUAUGGCUCAGCUGGCAGACAGAGGAGAAACAACUAGACAUCAGAGACUACAGUUGGAUGUUGGAAAGCAGCAGCUUGACUUCAGAAGGACAGCUUGAUGGCUUAAUUUCAGAGAAGAAUCUGACUGGAGACCAGCCAGACUUCAGGGCAAGACCUUUCUAUUCUGUCCCCUUUUUAGCUUCCCUUUCUACUGAGAGCCACUUUCAUUGGCAAUAAAAUCCCCUGCAAUAAAAUACCAUCUUAAAUUCGUUUGUGCAAUCUCAUUCCUCUUGGACGCUGGACAAGAACUCGGGUGCCAUGAGUGCAGGUAUAAAAGGCUGUCACACUGCCCCGCCACUGAGCUGUUAACACUUAAGCUGUCCACAGAUGGCAGAGCUGAAAGAAUACUGUAACACUUUCUCUGGGGCUUCAGGGAUCACAGGGACCCCCCAAGAUGCUGCCAUGGGGCCAGUAUGGGGUUUGCUCCUGCUGGUGCCCAAAAGCUCUCGCCCUGGCUCCUGUACCAGCUCAACUGCACUCCCCCAUCCCAUGACAGGUGGAGCAGAGAGUAAGUGGAGUUCCCCCCUGCUGGCGCUGAAGAGGCCAGCUAGUUCCAGCACCCAUGCACUCUAGUUCCCACCCAUGAAGGGGUCAGGGAAAUAUCCUGCUUCAAAAACACUAUAAUGUUAAAAUUAAAUUUAAAAUAUCAAUAUGAAUGCACAAUUCAGAAAAUUUAUAUUUUAGCUCCCUCCAUUGAAAGCAUUUAAAAGUAAUGUGAGACCAGUAGCAAUAAACAUUCCUGUCACCCAGAUUUUGGUUGCUAAUGUAUUUACCACUGAAAAGAACCAAGGAUCUUUGAAAAAUGGCUGAUUUGGCCAGGUGUGGUGGCUCAUACCUAUAAUUUCAUCACUUUGGAAGGCCAAAGUGGGUGCAUCACUUGAGGUCCGGAGUUUGAGACCAGCCAG